rnacentral:rRNA from 1 species
AUUGAACGCUGGCGGCAGGCCUAACACAUGCAAGUCGAGCGAGCGGCGGACGGGUGAGUAAUGUCUGGGAAACUGCCUGAUGGAGGGGGAUAACUACUGGAAACGGUAGCUAAUACCGCAUACCAUCAGAUGUGCCCAGAUGGGAUUAGCUAGUAGGUGGGGUAACGGCUCACCUAGGCGACGAUCCCUAGCUGGUCUGAGAGGAUGACCAGCCGCACGGGAACUAGGACGUGGUCCAGACUCCUACGGGAGGCAGCAGUGGGGAAUAUUGCACAAUGGGCGCAAGCAUGAUGUAGCCAUGCCGCGUGUGUGAAAGAGGCCUGCGGGUUGUAAAGCACUUUCAGCGGGGAGGCGUUACCCGCAGAAGAAGCACCGGCUAACUCCGUGCCAGCAGCCGCGGUAAUAC